rnacentral:lncRNA from 1 species
CGCAGAGCCGGAACUCUGCCCUGAUCACUUCCAGCUAGGACAGUGCGUGCAUUAGGUGAUUGCUGCUGUUUUGGUUUUGAUUAUGUCAGUAAUGAUAACUUUGUUCUGAGAUGUUGUCACAGAAGCUUUUCUCCCUUGGCAAGAAAACCCUGGCCUAGUAGUGACCUUUUGACAUUGACUUCAUAUCACCAUUCUCUAACCCAGUAGUUUUUGAACAACCGAGCCUUCUUGUGAGCCUCAGAGUCUUUUCACCAAACAAACUCUUAAUGGAGAUAAAAAUGAAAAUUCUUGAGUGUGGUUGAGUGGGGGCUGGUUUUUCACGGGCGGUAGGGUCAUGAGAGGUGCAAAGGAGGCUGCCACACAUUCAGCAGAGGAUUAUUACAGCUGAAACUUAGUAAGACGCCAGGCUAAUCACUAAGCAAGCAUUAACUCCCCUCACCCUCUUCCUGGGCAGGGCUGCAUGUGGUUCAGUAGAUGCAUGGAUGGCAGCCUAACAAAGCUUUAGAAUGAGUCUUUUUCUUUAUUAGUGCUAGAGAUUUAACCCAGGGCCUUUGCACUGAACUAUAUCCCUCCCCUUUUUACAAAAAUGUUUUGUUUUGAGACAGAGUUUUGCUAAAUUGCCCAGACUGGGCUCAACUUGUGACCCUCUUGGCUCUGCCUCCCAGGCGUGGCGUGGGCCGUCCUGCCAGCAGAAUUAGUCAUGCUUAAUGUUCCUUGGUAUGUUAAAUGUAAAUCUAUUUAAUCAUGAAUCCUUUUUUUAAAAAAAAAAAUGUUAAACGUAGCAUGCUUGCCUGGCAAUCCUCAAAACCUCGUCAGAAAGGUGGACAAAGUCAAAGGUUGAAUACCAGAACCAACCCAUCCGAGGAAACCGAUUUGGAGGAAUUCGGCUGUCUGCCACUAGGAUCUGGUUACAGAAGAGCCUCUCCACGAGCGCUGCAUUCAAAACGAGAGCUGGAAAAACAGAAUCCGAGGGAGUUAUUAUUACUGUCUGAACAAGUAAGUUCAUCCAGCUCCUCUCACUCCCGCGUUAGUUCACCGGCAAGGUCAGUCACUUAUCUAACCCUUGUGUGUGUUCACUGUUUGUUCAUAGUCGUUGUGCUGUACGAGGACGGGCCUCUCUGUGCUGUCUCUGAUGGGUCACAGGGCCCUCGUCUACGUAACUGUCAGUACACUGCAUACCUAAUUUUUUUUUGUUUUUUUUUUAUUGUGACAGUUACUAUUUUGAUGAACUGGACGUAAUUCCAGUGUCCCACCACGGGGAACUGCCUGGUGGAGCAUACCCCUGGGGGCAGAAUGUUACAAGCCAAUAGAGGUACUAAGAAUCUUGCACUCCUUUGGAAUGAGUCUGCAGGGGAAAACCAGGUCCAAAGUAGAGUGUGUACGUUGAAAAUAACUGUAAGAAGUGAGUGCUUAUAAACUACUAAGGAUCAACAGUGAUUUUGGGCUGGGGAUGUAGCUCAGUAGUAGAGGGCCUGGGUUAAAUACCUAGUAGUCCCCCACCAAGGUAAAAUAAAUAGAUUUAGGUCCAAUAAAUUAUUCAUACUGAAAAGUUAAUUAGAAACAAACACACACACACACACACACAGCUGUGUAAGAGGAGAAACCCUGAUCACUGAUCGUCACGCAGAGCUCUCAGGGUCAGGAAUCUGAGCUGCUUUGCUGAGUGUCCAUCUAAAGAGGCUGAAGUCAAAAUGUCAGUGGGGGCUUCUGUCACCCGAAGGCUUGACCAAAGCUGGCAGAUCCACUUCCAGAAAAGGCCAUGUCUCACACUACUGUCAGCAAAAGGCUUGUCACGCGGACCUCUCCGUAGGGCUGCUCACAGCACAGUAGUGGUCUUGCCCCAGAACAAAUGGUGACAGAGAAAGUUACCAGGAUGGUAAGUGCAGGGCCUUCUGAAACCUGAGAAAUGAGACCAUCACAUUUGCCACGUCCUGUGGUCACACAGACCAACUGUGCUACAGUGUGGGAGGGGACUGUAUGGGACGCGAACCUCAGAGACAGGGACCCCUUCUUGGAAGCUAGUUACGCUUUCACUACUGUUUGCUCAUGGCCACUAAAGGUACAUGUCAAGCACACGUCAAAAUAGAUAUUUCAACAUAUUUAAUCCUUCUUAAAGUUUUCAAGAAAUAAUGAUGUUUACUUAAUACUUUCUAUCUGCCACCCACUGGGUAAAGCAUUGCACUCAUGACCCUCACAACUCCAAAAGAGGUGUUUUAUUUCUCAUUUCAAGGAGCACAGAGACGUUAAGGACCCUACCCAAGGACACACAUCCAAUAAGUAGGGGAGUGAGAACAUGACCUCAGAGCCCCCCAGUUGAGAACACACUCUAUCACUAAGCUAUUCUGCGUCCCUCUGGUCACUGUUUCUGGACAGAUUCACACCAUGUCUGUGUUUUGUAAGUUGAGGCCCACAUUCCAUGUUUAGGAUUUCCAGGCAAUCACAGGCGUUCAAGUCCUGGAGUCCUUUAUCAGUGGUUCUGACACUGAGAGUCGUCGCUCAGCCUUCUCUCCCACUCCUGCUCUCCUGGCUUCCCCUUGUCUUUUCCAUCCACAUUGGUCGAUGGCUGUUCUUGGAAGGCUCCUAUGCCGCUGCCUGUUACUUGUGUACAGUGUUCUUUUCUUCUUUCAGAUCUGUGUGGCCUCACCCUUUCUCCCUCCCUUCCUGCCUGGCCUCAAAUGCCACCUUCCCAGAGAGUCCCACUGCUGUCAUACUAUUUAAAACGGCCACUCCACUCCAUCACACAGCCCCCUCUUGUUUCCCUUUGUUUCUUCGCACAGCACCUAUCACCUUCCCGAUCCUAAUUAAUUUACUCAACAUGUUUAUAUUUUCCUCUGUAUACCAGAAUGCAAGCUCCACAGGGGCAGGGGUUUGGGUGUGUUCUCUUCACUGAUGGUCCCCAGCACAUACCACAGUGCCUGGUACGUAAUAUGUGUUCAGUAAAUCAUGAAAUAACCUUGGAGGGCU